UACGGGGGGGGCAAGCGUUGUUCGGAAUUACUGGGCGUAAAGGGCGCGUGAGGCGGCUCGUCAAAGUCGGUCGUGAAAUCCUUCGGCUCAACCGAAGAACGUCGAUCGAUACUGCUGUUCUUGAGGGUUGCAGAGGAGACUGGAAUUCCCGGUGUAGCGGUGAAAUGUGUAGAGAUCGGGAGGAACACCGGUGGCGAAGGCGGGUCUCUGGGCAACUCCUGACGCUGAGGCGCGAAAAGCGUGGGGAGCAAACGGG
rnacentral:rRNA from 1 species